rnacentral:rRNA from 1 species
GUGCCAGCCGCCGCGGUAAGACGAGGGAUCCUAGCGUUGUUCGGAAUCAUUGGGCGUAAAGCGGAUGUAGGUGGCUUUGUAAGUCGGGUGUGAAAGCCCAGGGCUCAACCCUGGAAGUGCAUUCGAUACUGCGAAGCUUGAGUGCUAGAGAGGUUACUAGAAUACCUGGUGUAGUGGUGAAAUACGUAGAUAUCAGGUGGAAUACCGGAGGCGAAGGCGGGUAACCAGCUAGACACUGACACUCAGAUCCGAAAGUGUGGGGAUCAAACAGGAUUAGAUACCCUGGUAGUCC